rnacentral:rRNA from 1 species
CAGAGGGUGCGAGCGUUGUUCGGAAUUACUGGGCGUAAAGCGCGCGCAGGCGGCCCUUUAAGUCCGUCGGUCAAAUGCCGGGGCUCAACCCCGAGCGUGCCGAGGAUACUGGAGGGCUGGAGACACGUAGAGGCAAGCGGAAUUCCGGGUGUAGCGGUGGAAUGCGUAGAGAUCCGGAAGAACACCGGAGGCAAAGGCGGCUUGCUGGGCGUGAUCUGACGCUGAGGCGCGAAAGCGUGGGGAGCGAACAGGAUUAGAUACCCUGGUAGUCCACGCCGUAAACGAUGGGCACUAGACGCUGGUGGGAUCGACCCCUUCGGUGUCGCAGCUAACGCGAUAAGUGCCCCGCCUGGGGAGUACGGCCGCAAGGCUG